rnacentral:rRNA from 1 species
CCUGCAAAACGAAUCUAAGUUCCCCCUUAACCCUCUUUUCCCUCCCCAGACAAACCCAACCCAAAUGUGAUAGUUAAGGGCUAUUUAAAGGGGGUACAGCCCCUUUAAAAAAGGACACAACCUCCACCAGCGGAUAACCCCUGUACGCCCAACCCCGUGGGCCUUAAAGCAGCCACCCCCAAANNNUGCGUCAAAGCUCCAUCAACCAAAAACCCCCAAAACCAAUGCGACUCCCUACACCCACAGCAGGCCAACCUAUAACAAUAGAUGAAUCAAUGCUAGAACGAGUAACCAGGACACUAUGUCCCCCCAAGCGCCAGCCUGUAUACCAUUAACAGUAAAACCUCAAUAAUAACCACCCCACCAUUGAACCCACCCUGUCAA